rnacentral:rRNA from 1 species
GGGGCUGGAGCAAUCCGGCAACCGGCGAACGGGUGCGUAACACGUGAACAACCUGCCCUCGUGUGGGGGAUAGCCAUGCUAACGCGUGGGUAAUACCGCAUACGUUCUUUUCGGGGAGUCCCGGGGAGAGGAAAGCCGAGGCAACUUGGCGCACGGGGAGGGGUUCGCGGCCUAUCAGCUGGUUGGUGCGGUCACGGAGCACCAAGGCGACGACGGGUAGCUGGUCUGAGAGGAUGGCCACCCACAUUGGGACUGAGAGACGGCCCAUACUCCUACGGGAGGCAGCAGUGGGGAAUCUUGCGCAAUGGCCUAACGGCUGACGCAGCGACGCCGCGUGUGGGACGACGCCUUUCGGGGUGUAAACCACUGUUGCCCGGGACGAACUUCUGGUUUCGACCACACUGACGGUACCGGGUGAGGAAGCACCGGCUAACUCCGUGCCAGCAGCCGCGGUAAUACGGAGGGUGCGAGCGUUGUCCGGAAUCAUUGGGCGUACAGGGCGCGUAGGUGGACCGGUGAGUCUUUGGUGAAAGCGCGGGGCUCAACCCUGCGUCGGCCAGGGAUACUGCCGCGGCUCGA